rnacentral:rRNA from 1 species
UGGGGAACCUGCCCCAUAGUCUGGGAUACCACUUGGAAACAGGUGCUAAUACCGGAUAAGAAAGCAGAUCGCAUGAUCAGCUUUUAAAAGGCGGCGUAAGCUGUCGCUAUGGGAUGGCCCCGCGGUGCAUUAGCUAGUUGGUAAGGUAAAGGCUUACCAAGGCGAUGAUGCAUAGCCGAGUUGAGAGACUGAUCGGCCACAUUGGGACUGAGACACGGCCCAAACUCCUACGGAGGCAGCAGGC